rnacentral:rRNA from 1 species
AACCUUUACACUGCACGACAGUGCGAUAAGGGAAUCCCAAGUGCGUAGGCAUAGAGCCUACGCUUUUGUCCACCGUAGGGAGGUGGACGAAUAAGGGCUGGGCAAGACCGGUGCCAGCCGCCGCGGUAAUACCGGCAGCCCGAGUGAUGGCCGAUCUUAUUGGGCCUAAAGCGUUCGUAGCUGGCCGAUCAAGUCUGUCGGGAAAUCUGCUCGCCUAACGAGCAGGCGUCCGGCGGAAACUGAUCGGCUUGGGACCGGAAGACUCGAGGGGUACGUCCGGGGUAGGAGUGAAAUCCUGUAAUCCUGGACGGUCCACCGAUGGCGAAAGCACCUCGAGAGCACGGAUCCGACAGUGAGGAACGAAAGCUGGGGUCUCGAACCGGAUUAGAUACCCGGGUAGUCCCAGCUGUCAACGAUGCCCGCUAGGUAUGGCGCAGGCUACGAGCCUGUGCUAUGCCGUAGCGAAGGCGCUAAGCGGGCCGCCUGGGAAGUACGUUCGCAAGAAUGAAACUUAA